UACGGGGGGGGCAAGCGUUGUUCGGAAUUACUGGGCGUAAAGGGCUCGUAGGCGGCCAACUAAGUCAUACGUGAAAUCCCUCGGCUUAACCGGGGAACUGCGUCUGAUACUGGAUGGCUUGAGUUCGGGAGAGGGAUGCGGAAUUCCGAGGUGUAGCGGUGAAAUGCGUAGAUAUCUGGAGGAACACCGGUGGCGAAGGCGGCAUCCUGGACCGGAUACUGACGCUGAGGAGCGAAAGCCAGGGGAGCAAAGCGGG
rnacentral:rRNA from 1 species